rnacentral:rRNA from 1 species
GAUGAACGCUGGCGGCGUGCCUAAUACAUGCAAGUCUAGCGAACGGACGAGAAGCUUGCUUCUCUGAUGUUAGCGGCGGACGGGUGAGUAACACGUGGAUAACCUACCUAUAAGACUGGGAUAACUUCGGGAAACCGGAGCUAAUACCGGAUAAUAUUUUGAACCGCAUGGUUCAAAAGUGAAAGACGGUCUUGCUGUCACUAAUAGAUGGAUCCGCGCUGCAUUAGCUAGUUGGUAAGGUAACGGCUUACCAAGGCAACGAUGCAUAGCCGACCUGAGAGGGUGAUCGGCCACACUGGAACUGAGACACGGUCCAGACUCCUACGGGAGGCAGCAGUAGGGAAUCUUCCGCAAUGGGCGAAAGCCUGACGGAGCAACGCCGCGUGAGUGAUGAAGGUCUUCGGAUCGUAAAACUCUGUUAUUAGGGAAGAACAUAUGUGUAAGUAACUGUGCACAUCUUGACGGUACCUAAUCAGAAAGCCACGGCUAACUACGUG